rnacentral:lncRNA from 1 species
GGGGCCUCUUCAGCUGGCUGGCUUGAGAAUAUCUGGCUUAAUGUUGAGUCUUGGGUUCAGCUCUCUCAUUUGUCCUAAGGACAGAAGAAACCUAAGGGACAGUGAGAAAGUGAGAGACACAGUAGAGCCAUUUAAGUUGGAGAAGACAGAGGGAGCAGAAAACAACACAGUGGGACAGAGUUCACUGGGAAGGCCUUGUGGUGAGCUGUUGAGUGUUGAGCUCAGACAUGAGAAAGCCCAGGACUGUCUCAAACUUUGCCAGGACUCACCAGGGGAUCCUCCGAGCAUCUCUAACCUCAUUUUGCUGCUGCUUUGGGAGAAGACCCUUGGCAUUUUUGUAUGUCUGUGCUGCGUCACUAGUUGAUUAAAAGAAAAAUAAACAC